GCUUUCUGCUGUUACACGCAGCUGCGAUGAUUAAGCUUAUAUGUACAUCAUUUCUUACAUGUUCAAGGUGGCACUGUUGAACAAAUUCCCAGAAGUGGGACUGACAGGCCAUAGGGUGAAUGCAUCCGUAACUUUGAUAAGAAUUACUAAACCACUUGCCACUGGGGGUUGUAUCAUUUUGCAUUCCCACCAGCAACAUACCAGACGGCCUGUUUGCCUACACAAUAGCCUCAUCCUUGGACCGUGUUGGCAUAAUUUUGGAUUUUGGCCUAUCUGAUAGGUGAGAAGGCAAGUGUAUGGCUUACAUCUUGGCCUGGCUACUUCAUGUUAUCUUAUUUGCAUCAAGAACUUCAGCCAGAGAGGGUGGAUGACAUGUCUGGCACGCAGUAACUGCUCAGUAAACAGAACUGCUAUUGUCACCCGGCAUCAACACCCCAGCCUCUGACCCCUUUGAUUCCACACCGCCCCACCGGAUGACAUUGAAUCCUUUUUGCAGCCCCAGGAGUUCGAGACUGAGUUUCUGGAUGAAGGCAGAAUCAGGCCCUGGUGGAAACCAGAUACUUCGAAGCUAGGCUGGACGCGGUGGCUCACGCCUGUAAUCCCAGCAGUUUGGGAGGCUGAGGUAGGUGGAUCACCUGAGGUCAGGAGGUUGAGACCAGCCUGGCCAACAUGGUAAAACCUCGUCUCUACUAAAAAUACAAAAAAUUAGCUGGGCAUGGCGGCAGGCACUUAUAAUUCCAGCUACUCAGGAGGCUGAGGCAGGAGAAUUGCUUGAAUCUGGGAGGUGGGGGUUGCAGUGAGCCGAGAUCGCACCACUGCACUCCAGCCUGGGUGACAGAGGGAGACUCCGUCUCAAAAAAAAAAAAAAAAAAAAAAGACUUCAAAACUUGAAGAUCCAGAGAAAAUCCAGGAAAUCCCAGGUGGAGGGGCAGCUAGGCAGGGCCCAAUUCAACUAUAGCCGUUUUGUUCUCUCUUGUUUUACAUCUGGAGGCUCUGACUAUGAUUUUGCUUGUAAAGAGAAUUCUGCUGAAAAAUAAUUAAAAGCCACUGACCUCGUCCAGAACAGGCAGUUACUUGCUUUCCCCAACAGCCCUGGCCUUCCUGCCAGCCACUCGCUUGGGGUGUGAGCAGGACCAGUGAACGUUCACUGGGCAAACAUUGACGGGGUAGCAACUAAGAGAAGUCAAGUUAGACUUGGGCGGGACGUGGGACCGACGUGGUGCCAGUGCUAAUUUGCAGUCCAGUGACGUCCUAUUCCCAGAGCCUCUGCAAUCAGACCCCAUGAAGGGCAGGACAGGAGCAACGUGCCACAGAAAACAUCUCUGUGUGUGAACUCAACAGGGCUGUGACCACAGCUGUCCUUUCAUAAACAUUGCUACAUGAAAGAGAGAAGGGCUGCCUGAUGGAAUGGAUGGCGGGAUGUUCUUUUAUGUUUUCGAGACAAGGUCUCGCUCUGUUGCCCAGGCUGAAGUGCAGUGGCAUCAUCAUAGGCUCACUGCAGCUUUGAUCUCCUGGGCUCAAGCGAUCCUCCCAUCCCAGUCUUCUGAGUAGCUGGGACUACAGGUGUGCACCACCACGCCUGGCUAAGUUUUUGCAUUUUUUUUUUGUAGAGACAGGAUUUCACUAUGUUGCUCCAGCUGGUCUCAGAAUCCUGACCUCAAGUGAUCCUCCUGCCUCG
rnacentral:lncRNA from 10 species